rnacentral:sRNA from 1 species
GAGGCAGUAUGGGAUUUGAUUAAUAGAGCUUCGAAAGAGGAAGUGUUUGGUGUGAAAACUAUUAAAUCUGACCCGGGCCGUCUUAUGUUAGAAUGCAGUCAAACAUCAUUGGGUUGUGAUUGGUAUUUAAGAGUUACCAAAACUUCGAGCACG